CACACACACACACAGCAGUGUGUGUAUGUGUGUAUAUAUGUGUAUGUAUGUGUGUAUAUAUAUAUUCAUAUAUAUAUACACACACAUAUACAUACAUAUAUAUAUAUAUAUAUGCGGCGUGUGCUUGUGCUUU
rnacentral:miRNA from 1 species